rnacentral:rRNA from 1 species
UCUGGUGGGGGAUGGGCUCGCGGCCUAUCAGCUUGUUGGUGGGGUGAUGGCCUACCAAGGCUUUGACGGGUAGCCGGCCUGAGAGGGUGACCGGUCACAUUGGGACUGAGAUACGGCCCAGACUCCUACGGGAGGCAGCAGUGGGGAAUAUUGCACAAUGGGCGAAAGCCUGAUGCAGCGACGCCGCGUGAGGGAUGGAGGCCUUCGGGUUGUAAACCUCUUUCGCUCAUGGUCAAGCCGCAACUUAGGGUUGUGGUGAGGGUAGUGGGUAAAGAAGCGCCGGCUAACUACGUGCCAGCAGCCGCGGUAAUACGUAGGGCGCGAGCGUUGUCUGGAAUUAUUGGGCGUAAAGGGCUUGUAGGCGGUUGGUCGCGUCUGCCGUGAAAUCCUCUGGCUUAACUGGGGGCGUGCGGUGGGUACGGGCUGACUUGAGUGCGGUAGGGGAGACUGGAACUCCUGGUGUAGCGGUGGAAUGCGCAGAUAUCAGGAAGAACACCGGUGGCGAAGGCGGGUCUCUGGGCCGUUACUGACGCUGAGGAGCGAAAGCGUGGGGAGCGAACAGGAUUAGAUACCCUGGUAGUCCACGCUGUAAACGUUGGGCACUAGGUGUGGGGGCCACCCGUGG